rnacentral:rRNA from 1 species
GACGAACGCUGGCGGCGUGCUUAACACAUGCAAGUCGAACGGAAAGGCCCUGCUUUUGUGGGGUGCUCGAGUGGCGAACGGGUGAGUAACACGUGAGUAACCUGCCCUUGACUUUGGGAUAACUUCAGGAAACUGGGGCUAAUACCGGAUAGGAGCUCCUGCUGCAUGGUGGGGGUUGGAAAGUUUCGGCGGUUGGGGAUGGACUCGCGGCUUAUCAGCUUGUUGGUGGGGUAGUGGCUUACCAAGGCUUUGACGGGUAGCCGGCCUGAGAGGGUGACCGGCCACAUUGGGACUGAGAUACGGCCCAGACUCCUACGGGAGGCAGCAGUGGGGAAUAUUGCACAAUGGGCGGAAGCCUGAUGCAGCAACGCCGCGUGCGGGAUGACGGCCUUCGGGUUGUAAACCGCUUUCGCCUGUGACGAAGCGUGAGUGACGGUAAUGGGUAAAGAAGCACCGGCUAACUACGUGCCAGCAGCCGCGGUGAUACGUAGGGUGCGAGCGUUGUCCGGAUUUAUUGGGCGUAAAGGGCUCGUAGGUGGUUGAUCGCGUCGGAAGUGUAAUCUUGGGGCUUAACCCUGAGCGUGCUUUCGAUACGGGUUGACUUGAGGAAGGUAGGGGAGAAUGGAAUUCCUGGUGGAGCGGUGGAAUGCGCAGAUAUCAGGAGGAACACCAGUGGCGAAGGCGGUUCUCUGGGCCUUUCCUGACGCUGAGGAGCGAAAGCGUGGGGAGCGAACAGGCUUAGAUACCCUGGUAGUCCACGCUGUAAACGGUGGGUACUAGGUGUGGGGUCCAUUCCACGGGUUCCGUGCCGUAGCUAACGCUUUAAGUACCCCGCCUGGGGAGUACGGCCGCAAGGCUAAAACUCAAAGGAAUUGACGGGGCCCCGCACAAGCGGCGGAGCAUGCGGGUUAAUUCGAUGCAACGCGUAGAACCUUACCUGGGUUUGACAUGGAUCGGGAGUGCUCAGAGAUGGGUGUGCCUCUUUUGGGGUCGGUUCACAGGUGGUGCAUGGCUGUCGUCAGCUCGUGUCGUGAGAUGUUGGGUUAAGUCCCGCAACGAGCGCAACCCUUGUUCACUGUUGCCAGCACGUUAUGGUGGGGACUCAGUGGAGACCGCCGGGGUCAACUCGGAGGAAGGUGGGGAUGACGUCAAGUCAUCAUGCCCCUUAUGUCCAGGGCUUCACGCAUGCUACAAUGGCUGGUACAGAGAGUGGCGAGCCUGUGAGGGUGAGCGAAUCUCGGAAAGUCGGUCUCAGUUCGGAUUGGGGUCUGCAACUCGACCUCAUGAAGUCGGAGUCGCUAGUAAUCGCAGAUCAGCAACGCUGCGGUGAAUACGUUCCCGGGGCU